rnacentral:rRNA from 1 species
CGAGGGGCAGCGGGGGAGUAGCAAUACUCCCGCCGGCGACCGGCGCACGGGUGAGUAACACGUAUGAAACCUGCCCGUAGCAGGGGGAUAAGCGGAAGAAAUUCCGUCUAAUACCGCGUAACAACCCAUGGAGGCAUCUCCGUGGGUUUAAAGGAAGCGAUUCCGGCUACGGAUGGUCAUGCGUCGCAUUAGCUUGUUGGCGGGGUAACGGCCCACCAAGGCGACGAUGCGUAGGGGUUCUGAGAGGAAGGUCCCCCACACUGGUACUGAGACACGGACCAGACUCCUACGGGAGGCAGCAGUGAGGAAUAUUGGUCAAUGGCCGCAGGGCUGAACCAGCCAAGUCGCGUGAGGGAUGACGGUCCUAUGGAUUGUAAACCUCUUUUGUCAGGGAGCAAAGGGCGCCACGUGUGGCGUUUUGCGAGUACCUGAAGAAAAAGCAUCGGCUAACUCCGUGCCAGCAGCCGCGGUAAUACGGAGGAUGCGAGCGUUAUCCGGAUUUAUUGGGUUUAAAGGGUGCGCAGGCGGAAUGUCAAGUCAGCGGUAAAAUUUCGGGGCUCAACCCCGUCGUGCCGUUGAAACUGGCGUUCUUGAGUGAGCGAGAAGUAUGCGGAAUGCGUGGUGUAGCGGUGAAAUGCAUAGAUAUCACGCAGAACUCCGAUUGCGAAGGCAGCAUACCGGCGCUCAACUGACGCUCAUGCACGAAAGCGUGGGUAUCGAACAGGAUUAGAUACCCUGGUAGUCCACGCAGUAAACGAUGAAUACUAACUGUCCGGGCAGAAUGAUGCCUGGGUGGUACAGCGAAAGCGUUAAGUAUUCCACCUGGGGGGUACGC